CCUACGGGAGGCAGCAGUAGGGAAUCUUCCACAAUGGGCGAAAGCCUGAUGGAGCAACGCCGCGUGGGUGAAGAAGGUCUUCGGAUCGUAAAACCCUGUUGUUAGAGAAGAAAGUGCGUGAGAGUAACUGUUAACGUUUCGACGGUAUCUAACCAGAAAGCCACGGCUAACUACGUGCCAGCAGCCGCGGUAAUACGUAGGUGGCAAGCGUUAUCCGGAUUUAUUGGGCGUAAAGGGAACGCAGGCGGUCUUUUAAGUAUGAUGUGAAAGCCUUCGGCUUAACCGGAGUAGUGCAUUGGAAACUGGGAGACUUGAGUGCAGAAGAGGAGAGUGGAACUCCAUGUGUAGCGGUGAAAUGCGUAGAUAUAUGGAAGAACACCAGUGGCGAAAGCGGCUCUCUGGUCUGUAACUGACGCUGAGGUUCGAAAGCGUGGGUAGCAAACAGGAUUAGAUACCCCAGUAGUC
rnacentral:rRNA from 1 species